CCUACGGGUGGCUGCAGUAGGGAAUCUUCCACAAUGGGCGAAAGCCUGAUGGAGCAACGCCGCGUGGGUGAAGAAGGUCUUCGGAUCGUAAAACCCUGUUGUUAGAGAAGAAAGUGCGUGAGAGUAACUGUUCACGUUUCGACGGUAUCUAACCAGAAAGCACCGGCUAACUACGUGCCAGCAGCCGCGGUAAUACGUAGGUUGCAAGCGUUAUCCGGAUUUAUUGGGCGUAAAGGGAUCGCAGGCGGUCUUUUAAGUCUGAUGUGAAAGCCUUGGGCUUAACGGGAGUAGUGCAUUGGAAACUGGGAGACUUGAGUGCGGGAGAGGAUAGUGGAACUCCAGGUGUAGCGGUGAAAUGCGUAGAUAUAUGGAAGAACACCAGUGGCGAAAGCGGCUCUCUGGUAUGUAACUGACGCUGAGGUGCGAAAGCGUGGGUAGCAAACAGGAUUAGAUACCCGAGUAGUC
rnacentral:rRNA from 1 species